rnacentral:lncRNA from 1 species
CCCGGGUGAGGCGUACGAAGAACUCUAUGAGCCCCUAGCCUACAACCCUGAUUCUAGACCUCCAGACUCCCCUAUCAAGGGUCAUGUCCUCGGAAACCGGCAUUCUAGUCAUGUCCUGGCUAAUCACCUCUCCCCAAUGCUUCUUAGGCCUCCUUUUUCCUCGCCGACCGCCAACAAUCUCCAGCCGCUCGCAGCUCCUCACCGGGGCAUCGGGACC